AUGAAGAGUUUGAUCCUGGCUCAGGAUGAACGCUAGCGGCAGGCCUAACACAUGCAAGUCGAACGGUAACAGGAAUUAGCUUGCUAAUUUGCUGACGAGUGGCGCACGGGUGCGUAACGCGUAUACAAUCUACCUUUUGCUGAGGGAUAGCCCAGAGAAAUUUGGAUUAAUACCUCAUGGUAUUAUUGAUAGGCAUCUAUUAAUAAUUAAAGGUUACGGCAAAAGAUGAGUAUGCGUCCCAUUAGCUAGUUGGCGAGGUAACGGCUCACCAAGGCAACGAUGGGUAGGGGUCCUGAGAGGGAGAUCCCCCACACUGGUACUGAGACACGGACCAGACUCCUACGGGAGGCAGCAGUGAGGAAUAUUGGACAAUGGGCGAGAGCCUGAUCCAGCCAUGCCGCGUGCAGGAAGACUGCCCUAUGGGUUGUAAACUGCUUUUAUACAGGAAGAAUAAGCCUUACGUGUAAGGUGAUGACGGUACUGUAAGAAUAAGGACCGGCUAACUCCGUGCCAGCAGCCGCGGUAAUACGGAGGGAGCUAGCGUUGUUCGGAAUUACUGGGCGUAAAGCGCACGUAGGCGGCUUUUCAAGUCAGGGGUGAAAUCCCGGGGCUCAACCCCGGAACUGCCCUUGAAACUGGAUGGCUAGAAUACUGGAGAGGUGAGUGGAAUUCCGAGUGUAGAGGUGAAAUUCGUAGAUAUUCGGAAGAACACCAGUGGCGAAGGCGACUCACUGGACAGUUAUUGACGCUGAGGUGCGAAAGCGUGGGGAGCAAACAGGA
rnacentral:rRNA from 1 species